rnacentral:rRNA from 1 species
UUCCUACGGGAGGCAGCAGUGGGGGAUAUUGCACAAUGGGGGGAACCCUGAUGCAGCGACGCCGCGUGGGUGAAGAAGCGCCUCGGCGCGUAAAGCCCUGUCAGCAGGGAAGAAAAUGACGGUACCUGAAGAAGAAGCCCCGGCUAACUACGUGCCAGCAGCCGCGGUAAUACGUAGGGAGCGAGCGUUGUCCGGAUUUACUGGGUGUAAAGGGUGCGCAGGCGGCUCUGCAAGUCAGGCGUGAAAGCUAGGGGCUCAACCCCUAAACUGCGCUUGAAACUGUGGAGCUUGAGUGAAGUAGAGGG